rnacentral:rRNA from 1 species
AUUGAACGCUGGCGGCAGGCCUAACACAUGCAAGUCGAGCGGAUGAAGGGAGCUUGCUCCUGGAUUCAGCGGCGGACGGGUGAGUAAUGCCUAGGAAUCUGCCUGGUAGUAGGGGAUAACGUCCGGAGACGGGCGCUAAUACCGCAUGCGACGUGAGGGAGCAAGUGGGGGAUCUUCGGACCUCACGCUAUCAGAUGAGCCUAGGUCGGAUUAGCUAGUUGGUGGGGUAAGGGCCUGCCAAGGCGACGAUCCGUAACUGGUCUGAGAGGAUGAUCAGUCACCCUGGAACUGAGCCACGGUCCAGACUCCUACGGGAGGCAGCAGUGGGGAAUAUUGGACAAUGGGCGAAAGUCUGAUCCAGCCAUGCCGCGUGUGUGAAGAAGGUCCUCGGAUUGUAAAGCACGUUAAGUUGGGAGGAAGGGCAGUAAGUUAAUACCUUGCUGUUUUGACGUUACCAACAGAAUAAGCACCGGCUAACUUCGUG